AUUCGGAUUCAGCGGACCAAAAUACGUACCCAUAAGUAGGUCCGGUCAAAUGCACAUUCCACUUCAUUUUUUUUGUGUGCCGGUGUUCUUUCACUGUCAG